rnacentral:rRNA from 1 species
CGUGCGGUUCUAUUUUGUUGGUUUCUAGAGUCGCCGUAAUGAUUAAUAGGGAUAGUUGGGGACAUUUGUAUUGCGUUGCUAGAGGUGAAAUUCUUGGAUUUACGCAAGACAAACUACUGCGAAAGCAUUUGUCAAGGAUGUUUUCAUUAAUCAAGGACGAAGGUUAGGGGAUCGAAAAUGAUCAGAUACCGUUGUAGUCUUAACAGUAAACUAUGCCGACUAGGGAUUCGCGGGUGUUAAUUUGAUGACCCCGCGAGCACCUUAUGAGAAAUCAAAGUAUUUGGGUUCCGGGGGAGUAUGGUCGCAAGGCUGAAACUUAAAGGAAUUGACGGAAGGGCACCACCAGGAGUGGAGCCUGCGGCUUAAUUUGACUCAACACGG